GGUCAGUGGUCAAUGAGGCAGGGUGGGGUUACUGUGUCAUAAUCACAAUAAAGGAAAGGCUCAGCACUUCUUUAUUUGCACACAGAAAACACACCUAAAAUCAUCAUACAAAUUUCAGUAAUUAUAAACAGGCAAAACCACUGACGUUUCUCAAAUUUUCCUCUGAACAGAGAUCAGAAGAGAUCAGUGUGUUUUUUUCAGCACCGCACUGGACGUGCUGCUUGAGAGGAUGACAUCUGAAUGAAGACUCUGCUGCACUGAGCCUUUAGACUCUGAGCAUUCAAUAUAUAUGAUCAAUACAUGGAUUCCCACCAGCAGAUAACACCCAUUGCCUUGCAGAGGAACAUCCGGACAUCCGGCUGGAGUCACUCCGAGAGAGCGAACCGCAGGAGACGUGUCCAUGGGCAACGACCUAUCCGUGGACACAACAUCCUGGGCGUGCCUGGUGCACAUGACUCGCCCCCUGAGAAAGAACAGCGAGCGCUGCCCUGAUAUCUGCUAUGUGAUAGCAGCCAACGCAACUCCCCUCCGCUAAACCUGCAGAACCAUCCGUGGCUGUCCCGCGAGGGCUGUGCGAACCCAGCGCCAACAUUGUUAUUGGCUCCAAAAGCAAACGAAACUGUGGCUUUUUCUGUUUUGCGUCUCGUGACACUAGCCUGUCUGGUGUGAGCAGAUGCUCUGUGAAUCAAUGGCUGCUUUAGACAAGCUUACGGUGCAUGUGGAAGCUCAGUUAUGCUGCAGCGUAGCGGCUCAUGCAUGGAGAGAAUCAGAAUGAAUGCUAUAGACUAGUCAUCAAUGUGAUAAACAUUUCUUGAAUUGAUAAAUAAGACACAAAAAUGGCAGAACUGUAUGUGGGUAUCCUGGAGACAAAAUUGUCUGUGAUUCAGUAAAUGGUGCAGAGGUUGUGCUGUUGGGUGGAGGGAUUGGAUGAUCUGAGAGGAAUGUAAUGAGUUGUGCAGCUCACGUGAAAACAGACGUGGAAAAACACUACUGGAGACAGUGAAUGGAAACAAUACGGGUCUCUUAAAAAUCACAGGGCUAUUUGAGAAGAGAUUGAUUCCUAAAAUGCGAACCGUCCGAGAUUCUUGGUUUUAUUUGCCAGCGGAAUUUGUAUUUCAUGCCGCCUGUUGAAUUAAUCGUAACAGCACACAUUCUAGUAAGUUGCGUGUGUGGUGGGGAUUUGUGUAAAUGUAUGAGGAUAAGCAAGCGUGUUGCGGUGGCUGAGUCUAAUGAUGUGCUGUGGUUUUGGCAGUGACGAGUGACAGCUCCUGUAUUCUGCGGCAUGCACAGAUCUGUGCUGAAUCUGAAAACCACUGGCAGAGCCUGUACAGACAAGAAAAGAGCAAUUUGUCUACAAAUCACACUGGAGAUGGAAGAUCAGCAGAUAAAGGAAAAUAGAAAUGCUGUUGUAAUAUGAUUAUAAUUUACUAUAAAGAGGAAAUAUAGCACGUGAUAAGGAAGUUGAGAAACUAACCUCGGCCAAUGGUUAAUUACGGUUUUAUUGGACAUUAAAAUUAUUUACCGUGAUUUUCCAAUCAGAAUAAAACAUUUCAG
ensembl:lncRNA